rnacentral:rRNA from 1 species
AACGAACGCUGGCGGCAUGCCUAAUACAUGCAAGUCGAACGAGAUCUUCGGAUCUAGUGGCGCACGGGUGCGUAACGCGUGGGAAUCUGCCCUUGGGUUCGGAAUAACGUCGGGAAACUGACGCUAAUACCGGAUGAUGACGUAAGCCCAAAGAUUUAUCGCCCAAGGAUGAGCCCGCGUAGGAUUAGCUAGUUGGUGGGGUAAAGGCCCACCAAGGCGACGAUCCUUAGCUGGUCUGAGAGGAUGAUCAGCCACACUGGGACUGAGACACGGCCCAGACUCCUACGGGAGGCAGCAGUAGGGAAUAUUGGACAAUGGGGGCAACCUUGAUCCAGCAAUGCCGCGUGAGUGAUGAAGGCCUUAGGGUUGUAAAGCUCUUUUACCCGGGAUGAUAAUGACAGUACCGGGAGAAUAAGCCCCGGCUAACUCCGUGCCAGCCGCCGCAGUAA